rnacentral:rRNA from 1 species
UACGUAGGGUGCAAGCGUUAAUCGGAAUUACUGGGCGUAAAGCGUGCGCAGGCGGUGAUGUAAGACAGUUGUGAAAUCCCCGGGCUCAACCUGGGAACUGCAUCUGUGACUGCAUCGCUGGAGUGCGGCAGAGGGGGAUGGAAUUCCGCGUGUAGCAGUGAAAUGCGUAGAUAUGCGGAGGAACCCCGAUGGCGAAGGCAAUCCCCUGGGCCUGCACUGACGCUCAUGCACGAAAGCGUGGGGAGCAAACAGG